GACGAACGCUGGCGGCGUGCUUAACACAUGCAAGUCGAACGGAAAGGCCCUGCUUUUGUGGGGUGCUCGAGUGGCGAACGGGUGAGUAACACGUGAGUAACCUGCCCUUGACUUUGGGAUAACUUCAGGAAACUGGGGCUAAUACCGGAUAGGAGCUCCUGCUGCAUGGUGGGGGUGGGAAAGUUUCGGCGGUUGGGGAUGGAAUCGCGGCGUAUCAGCUUGUUGGUGGGGUAGUGGCAUACCAAGGCCUUGACGGGUAGCCGGCCUGAGCGGGUGACAGGCCACAUUGGGACUGGGAUGCGGCCCAGACUACUACGGGAGGCAGCAGUGGGGAAUAGUGCACAAUGGGCGGAAGCCUGAUGCAGCAACGCCGCGUGCGGGAUGACAGCCUGCGGGUUGUAUACCGCUUUCGCCUGUGACGAAGCGUGAGUGACGGUAAUGGGUAAAGAAGCACCGGCUAACUACGUG
rnacentral:rRNA from 1 species